AGUAAAGAGCUUUGGAUCAAGUCUAAUUGAAUUAGAUUUAGUUCGACUCAAAUUGGGUUUGAUAUGAUCAAUCCUGAUUACAAAGAAAAUUUGAUCCUGAUUCGAUCAGAGAUUGGAAUCAGCUUAUUCCUAAAUGAGCUAGGAAUUUAAUAAAAUAUUUAAAUUUCUAAUUAGAUUAGGUUCAUUUCUAUCAGUGGCAAAUUUAGAUUAGAAUCAGAUUAGGAAUGAAAAGUCCUUGUCAACUUAGACUCUAUCUUUAUCUCCUUGCACCAC
rnacentral:lncRNA from 1 species